GUUUUUUAUUUAUUUAUUUAUUUACAUAUUAUUAUAUUUACUUAUCAGCCUAUCACAGGCUAACACAUAGAGACAGACAAUUAUACAAUACAAUACAAUACAACUGUACAGACUGUGGGAGGAAACCGGAGCACCCGGAGUAUACCCACUUCUGAGCAGUUUGCCAGGGUAUCACAGGCUGACACAUAGAGACAGACAAUUAUACAAUACAAUACAACUGUACAGACUGUGGGAGGAAACCGGAGCACCCGGAGUACACCCACCCUGAACAGGUUGCCAGCCAAUCACACGCUGACACAUAAAGACAGACAACUAUGUAAUACAAUACAACUGUACAGACUGUGGGAGGAAACCGGAGCACCCGGAGUAAACCCACCCUGAACAGGUUGCCAGCGUAUCACAGGCUGACACAUAGAGACAGACAACUAUACAAUACAAUACAAUACAACUGUACAGACUGUGGGAGGAAACCGGAGCACCUGGAGUAAACCCAUCCUGAACAGGUUGCCAGCCUAUCACAGGCUGACACAUAGAGACAGACAAUUAUACAAUA